AUGGGAGUUAAAUGGAAAUUAGAUAAUUUUAGAUGCAAAAAAUAAUUCAAUAGAUUAAUAAAUUGUGAUAUGACAUUAGUUGGCCCAGUUAUAAUUAUAAAAAAAAAUUGCCACCCAGGAAGACACGUAGACUCCUAAACCGAGUAAGGUCACAUAAAAGUCUAAAGGAACAAAAUUUUCAUGUGACGAGAUUGAAAUCUAAAA
rnacentral:lncRNA from 1 species